rnacentral:lncRNA from 1 species
GACAAACACCCGCUGCUCGUCUUUUGGGCCAGUUUCAUCGUCGGGGAAGCCCUGUUACCUCUCUGCUCUUGGAAAGCUCCCACGAUCCGUGAACGACAUCAGGUUCCAAGAAGCGCAGCUGCUCGGGGACCAGGGCGGCCCAGGGCGCUCCCGCUCCACCACGGAGGACCUCGGCGUGGGGGUCUGGGGUCAUCGCUGCCAGCUCUGCGCCUGCGGCCAGGUCGCCUCCCGGACCCCAGGGGCCUGCCCUCCACUCCCGCCCCCAGCCUCGCGUCCACAGGCCUGAGUUCCCCAAACCCAACCCGGUGGAGGAGCUCCCCCCGCCCGCCCCCCGUCCGCGGCCGGUCCGACCCCUCCCCUAAGGCACCUCUAGGAGCCCCGGCGGUCCCUGGGGCCUGUGCCCGGCCUGGCGACGUCGCGGGGACAGUCGCCCUCCACGUGCCCCGACCGCCGAGGCCCGGCUGCCGCUUCCCUUGGCUUGCGCUCGGCGGAGCGCCACGGGCUCCUCCUCCAGGCUCGGGCUCCACAGCCACCGUCUGCACUGUCCUCCCUGCCGCCGCGGCCGCCCCCCGGCCGCCCCCCACGGGCACCUGCACGGAAGGAGCCUGCGGCGCCCUCGGCAGCCGGGGCGCGGGACACACGGCAGGGCGGGCUGGACACCGAGCGAGGGAGCGGGCGUCACCCCGUGGUCCUGAGUCACCCCGCCGCCCCGCGUCACCGCGUCACACCUCAGCCCCGCGUCACCCCGCGGCCCCCGCGUCACACCUCGGCCCCGCGUCACCCCUCGGCCCCGCGUCACCCCGCGGCCCCACGUCACACCUCGGCCCCGCGUCACCCCUCAGCCCCGCGUCACCCCCCGGCCCCGCGUCACCCCGCGGCCCCCGCGUCACACCUCAGCCCGCGUCACACCUCGGUACCCGCGUCACACCUCAGCCCCGCGUCACCCCGCAGCCCCACGUCACACCUCGGACCCCGCAUCAUCCCCCCGGCCCCCGCGUCACCCCGCGGCCCCCGCGUCACCCCGCGGCCCCGCGUCACCCCUCGGCCCCACGUCACCCCUCGGCCCCGCGUCACCCCGCGGCCCCGCGUCACACCUCGGCCCCGCGUCACCCCGCGGCCCCCGCGUCACCCCGCGGCCCCCGCGUCACACCUCGGUCCCCGCGACACCCCGCGGCCCCCGCGUCACACCUCAGCCCCGCGUCACACCUCGGACUCCGCAUCAUACCCCCGGCCCCCGCGUCACCCCGCGGCCCCCGCGUCACACCUCAGUCCCGCGUCACACCACGGCCCCGCGUCACACCUCGGCCCCGCGUCACCUCCUGGCCCCCGUGUCACAGCUCGGCCCCGCGUCACCCCGCGGCCCCCGCGACACACCUCGGCCCCGCGUCACCCCGCGGCCCCCGCGUCACACCUCGUCCCCGCGUCACACCUCGGUCCCCGAGUCACCCCCCGGGCCUCGCAUCACACCUCAGCCCCGUGUCACCCCGCGGCCCCGCGUCACACCUCGGACCCCGCAUCAUCCCCCCGGAUCCCGCGUCACCCCGCGUCACACCUCAGCCCCGCGUCACACCUCAGCCCCGCGUCACCGCGCGGCCCCGCGUCACACCUCAGCCCCGCGGCCCCGCGUCACACCUCAGUCCCGCGUCACCCCGCGGCCCCCGCGUCACCCCACGGCCCCCGCGUCACACCUCGGCCCCGCGUCACACCUCGGUCCCCGAGUCACCCCCCGGGCCCCGCAUCACACCUCAGCCCCGCGUCACCCCGCGGCCCCGCGUCACACCUCGGACCCCGCAUCAUCCCCCCGGAUCCCGCGUCACCCCGCGUCACACCUCGGCCCCCACGUCACACCUCAGUCCCGCGUCACCCCGCGGCCCCGCGUCACACCUCAGCCCCGCGUCACCCCACGGCCCCGCGUCACACCUCAGCCCCGCGUCACACCUCGGCCCCCGCGUCACACCUCAGUCCCGCGUCACACCUCGGCCCCCACGUCACACCUCAGUCCCGCGUCACCCCGCGGCCCCGCGUCACACCUCAGUCCCGCGUCACCCCGCGGCCCCGCGUCACACCUCAGCCCCGCGUCACCCCGCGGCCCCGCGUCACACCUCAGUCCCGCGUCACCCCGCGGCCCCGCGUCACACCUCAGCCCCGCGUCACCCCGCGGCCCCGCGUCACACCUCAGCCCCGCGUCACCCCGCGGCCCCUGCGUCACACCUCAGUCCCGCGUCACCCCGCGGCCCCGCGUCACACCUCAGCCCCGCGUCACCCCGCGGCCCCGCGUCACACCUCAGCCCCGCGUCACCCCGCGGCCCCGCGUCACACCUCAGCCCCGCGUCACCCCACGGCCCCGCGUCACACCUCAGCCCCGCGUCACACCUCGGCCCCCACGUCACACCUCAGUCCCGCGUCACCCCGCGGCCCCGCGUCACCCCGCGGCCCCGCGUCACACCUCGGCCCCGCGUCACCCCGCGGCCCCGCGUCACACCUCAGCCCCGCGUCACCCUGUGGCCCUCGCGUCACCCCGCAGCCCCCAGCGCACGGAGGGCGCUGCCCUCGGCCCCCGGCCCCGCAGGUGCCCCGGAAGCCCCGGGGACCCGAUGUCCCGCAGCAGGUGGCUGCCCGGCCGCGCCCGGUGUGCGUCGUCCUGGCGCCCAGGCCAGCGGCUCCCAGGAGGCGACGCGAACCCGGGGGGGGGGGGGGGGGGGGCGGGGGCGCGCCCGCGGCCCACGACCUGUGCACAGAGUGAAAACAUCGACUGUAUUUCAGUUUCCCUAA